CCUACGGGGGGCAGCAGUGGGGAAUAUUGCACAAUGGGCGCAAGCCUGAUGCAGCCAUGCCGCGUGUAUGAAGAAGGCCUUCGGGUUGUAAAGUACUUUCAGCGAGGAGGAAGGCGAUAAGGUUAAUAACCUUGUCGAUUGACGUUACCCGCAGAAGAAGCACCGGCUAACUCCGUGCCAGCAGCCGCGGUAAUACGGAGGGUGCAAGCGUUAAUCGGAAUUACUGGGCGUAAAGCGCACGCAGGCGGUCUGUCAAGUCGGAUGUGAAAUCCCCGGGCUCAACCUGGGAACUGCAUUCGAAACUGGCAGGCUAGAGUCUUGUAGAGGGGGGUAGAAUUCCAGGUGUAGCGGUGAAAUGCGUAGAGAUCUGGAGGAACACCAGUGGCGAAGGCGACUCUCUGGUCUGUAACUGACGCUGAGGCUCGAAAGCGUGGGGAGCAAACAGGAUUAGAUACCCGUGUAGUC
rnacentral:rRNA from 1 species